CACGGCAGAGCUUCCCAAGGAAGUCACGGGACCCCGCCUCAGGAUAUUCAGAAGCUCUAGUCCAGUUCUGGCAGCCUGAACUCUUCCUCCUCCAAGGUGAAAUCCAAGAAUACACUUCCUUCCAAGGACAGCAACUGACCUGCAAAAUGGGCGCCAGUUAGGGUGGCAGGGAGGACGCACAUUACAGUCAUUUAUUCCAAAAUUUGCCAUUUUCGCCAAACUUUCGGUGAUGACCUGGCAUGGUGGGUGGCUCAUGCCUAUAACCCCAGCAUCUUGAGAUCCUGAGGCAAGAGGAUCACUUGAGGCCAGGAGCUUGAGACCAGGCAGGACAACACAGCGAGAUCCCCCAUCUCUAGAAAAAAUAAUUAGCCACAUGUGGUGGUGCAUGCCUAUA
rnacentral:lncRNA from 1 species